UGGGGAAUAUUGCACAAUGGGCGCAAGCCUGAUGCAGCCAUGCCGCGUGUGUGAAGAAGGCCUUCGGGUUGUAAAGCACUUUCAGCGGGGAGGAAGGCGGUGAGGUUAAUAACCUCAUCGAUUGACGUUACCCGCAGAAGAAGCACCGGCUAACUCCGUGCCAGCAGCCGCGGUAAUACGGAGGGUGCAAGCGUUAAUCGGAAUUACUUGGCGUAAAGCGCACGCAGGCGGUCUGUCAAGUCGGAUGUGAAAUCCCCGGGCUCAACCUGUGAACUGCAUUCGAAACUGGCAGGCUAGAGUCUUGUAGAGGGGGGUAGAAUUCCAGGUGUAGCGGUGAAAUGCGUAGAGAUCUGGAGGAAUACCGGUGGUGAAGGCGGCCCCCUGGACAAAGACUGACGCUCAGGUGCGAAAGCGUGGGGAGCAAACAGG
rnacentral:rRNA from 1 species